GUGCCUUCGGGAACCGUGAGACAGGUGCUGCAUGGCUGUCGUCAGCUCGUGUUGUGAAAUGUUGGGUUAAGUCCCGCAACGAGCGCAACCCAUAUCCUUUGUUGCCAGCGGUCCGGCCGGGAACUCAAAGGAGACUGCCAGUGAUAAACUGGAGGAAGGUGGGGAUGACGUCAAGUCAUCAUGGCCCUUACGACCAGGGCUACACACGUGCUACAAUGGCGCAUACAAAGAGAAGCGACCUCGCGAGAGCAAGCGGACCUCAUAAAGUGCGUCGUAGUCCGGAUUGGAGUCUGCAACUCGACUCCAUGAAGUCGGAAUCGCUAGUAAUCGUGGAUCAGAAUGCCACGGCGAAUACGUUCCCGGGCCUU
rnacentral:rRNA from 1 species